UGUCCUCCAUCGGAGGUCUAUAUUGAGCAGAUUCUUUUAGGUGUUGGGUGGUGGAACUGGAGCUUGCUCCAUCCACUCCAUGCAUUGACCUGGUAUUACUGUGCUUCCAGGACCGGUGC
ensembl:snRNA U2 U2 spliceosomal RNA